UGGGCUUUCUAUAUAAAACCGCCGUCGCGAAUUUUUUAAUCAGCUUGGUUCUAUGGUGUCUUUUAUACUAUCUUUGAUAAAAUACAUCCUUUAAAAGUAAAUUUAUUGAUAAAUUUUAGAAGAAUACUUUAAAAUGGAAGGUGAAGAUAACAGCGAAAAUGAAUUGUUUGAAGCUGCUCCAAAGAAAAUGAAAACAGAAUGGUCUAAAAGCUAUUCUAACAAAGCUAUGGAAAUGAUGAAAAAAAUGGGAUACGAAACUGACAAAGGUUUAGGGAAGCAAAGUCAAGGACGUCUCGAACCGAUUGUUGCAUUUCAACAGGAUGGUCGACGCGGAUUGGGUUUAAAACAUGAGUCUGUUCAGCACCAAAGAGAACACUGGGAUCCAAACAAUGAAAAGAUAACAAUACCUGAAGUUGUUUCCUGGAUUUCUUCGAAUAAGGACUUUACACAUAAUAUCCAACAGCUAAUGUGCUGGAUAAGUUUUGGCGAACGCAAAGAAACUUUAGAUGAUGAAACAUUAUUUGUUGAACCCGAAAUAUUGAAUGCUAUUUUAGAAGCAAAGACUGUGUUUGAUAAACUUAAUGAGAAUGAAUUGAGAAAAGCUAGAUCUCGUAGUAAUCCAUUUGAGACAAUUCGAAGUUCUAUUUUCCAAAACAGAGCAGCAGUAAAAAUGGCUAAUAUUGAUUCAAUGUUGGAUUUUAUGUUUACAAAUCCUAAAGAUAAAAUGGGAAAUUCUCUUGUACACGAUAAUGAUCUUUUGUACUUUGCUGAUAUCUGUGCAGGUCCUGGAGGAUUUUCGGAGUAUAUAUUAUACAGGAAAUCAUGGGAAGCAAAAGGCUUUGGGUUUACACUUCGAGGUGCAAAUGAUUUUAAGUUAGAUAAAUUUUCAGCAGGAUCACCAGAAUCCUUUGACCCAUUCUAUGGUGUACAAGGUGAUGGUGAUGUUUAUGUGGAAGCAAAUCAGGAUUCAUUCGCUAGCUAUAUAUUUAAGCAUUGCGAAGAAGGCGUUCAUUUUGUUAUGGCAGACGGAGGAUUUUCAGUUGAAGGUCAAGAAAAUAUUCAAGAGAUAUUAUCAAAACAGCUUUAUUUAUGUCAAUGUCUCACCGCUCUUAAGAUUUUAAGGUGCAGUGGGAGUUUUGUUUGUAAACUCUUUGAUAUUUUUACGCCGUUUAGCGUUGGACUGGUAUAUUUAAUGUAUCAAAGUUUCGAAGAAAUAGCAAUAAUAAAACCAAACAGCAGCCGUCCCGCCAACUCGGAAAGAUAUUUAGUAUGUAAAUGGAAAAAAUCCGGCACGGAAGUAAUAUGUAAAUACUUGAAUUUCAUCAAUAACCAUAUAAACAAAAAAAGCGACCGAGAUGUUUUAGAAAUUGUAGAUUUAGAUGUCAUUAUGCAAGACGAAGAUUUUUUUAAAUAUAUAAAAGAAUCAAACAAUUUAAUAGGUAGAAAUCAAAUUACUGGAUUGAAAAAAAUAUCAGCAUAUUGUAAUAAUCCACUAUUAAAAGAAACUAGGCAAACUGAAUUUCGAAAAAAAUGCUUAGAACUUUGGAGAUUGCCGGAUAAAUUACGACAGGCUCCUGAGAAUAAAUCUGUUGAAAAGUUUCUUGAAGAAUUUCUAAAUAAUUGGUACGAAGAUAAAGUAUGGUUUAAUUCUACUCCUGUUGAGUUAGUAUCUACAUCAAUGCUAAACAAAUGGAUAGAAAGUAUACAUGAUUGGUAUUUUGUACCAAUAGGGCGAGGAGAAACAAGUACGAAUGCUUGUAGCUUUUUUAUUUGUACAACAAGAGGGAAAUUGCUCAGGUAUACUGAUAUGAAAAAGUGGGAACCUGUGGAAUAUAUGUUUGAAUUAUCUCCAAAAUCAUUAUUUUAUGGAGAACUUGUAUAUGAAUAUAAUGGUGAAGGAAGAACACAAACUAGAAUAUGCAAUUUGCACAUAAUAGAUGCAAUUAUUCUAGGUGGUAAAGAUGUAAGAAGAAUGAGGUUAAAUGAACGUUUAUCAAUGUGCACAAAGUUUGUAAAGAGUAUAAAUAAGCCAUAUAAAGAAGGCAGUGUGCCAUUACUACGUUGUAAAAGGCUGUUUAAAUUGGAAGAUAUUGAUGAAUUCUUUGGCACAAUGCGUCAUUACAGAUUAAAGGAUGGCUCUCAACGUCUAGGAAUAUCAUUAAAUGACACCGAUACAAAAUUCUUUGUUCCUGGUGGAAUACUAUUGUUUUGUGAAAUAUGCCAUUAUUUUUUCUCGAUAAUGUCAAAGUCGCAAAAUAUGCUGUACUACUUUAAUAAAACUAGAAACGCCUCUUAUUAUAAAAAUAAUAUGCCGGAUGAAAUGCAAAAUAUAUUGUACGCUUCUUUUCGAAAUAGCUUUAUAAGGCGGUUACUUUGGAAAUGGACAAAUACAUAUCAAGUCGAAGAACAAAGUAAUAAGGUGGAUGAUCAUAUUUUAUACAGAGAUGAUUUUAUACAAUACAUUGAAAAAAUUUAUAACUUGUUCUAAAAACAACUAGUUCUAGAACGAAUGCAAAGAGAACAACUUCUGAUUCUUAAAUAACAACCUUGGAACUAGUGAUAUCGCAACUACUACUGGAACCCCUUCCUCGGAACAUUGUUAUAGUUCUAAAAUACUUCUAAAGAGUUUUCAAGGAACUAAUUCUUUGACAUUAGGUUAUACAUUGAUACUACACUAGUUCAAUGGAACACAAUAGUUCCGAAACAACUUCUUAGAAUCAGUUGAAAAAAAUGUCUGCAUAAAAUUGAACUAUAAGGAAUUAAAGAUACUAGGUAUAAAGAUUAAAGAUAAUUAAAGAUACGGGAGACGGGAAAGUUAGCUGCUGGUUUCUUAUAUCCUGUGCAAAAAUAGUUUAACAAAUGAAUUUUAUGUAAGAUAAUUGUAAUUUCUUAAAAUUAGAUAACGCUUCCUCAGAACCAGUUCCGAAGGUGACAAUUUCGAACAAAAAUUAUUGGUCUCAACGCCAAAGUAGAACGAGUUCGGGCUACAAUCAUGCGUUCUAGAACUAAUUGUGGAACUAAUACAAUUGUUGCUGGGAUGUAUGAAUAUAAAAUCCUUAAGUUAUUUAGUUUUAAUAUAAAUAUGUACAUAUUCAUUUAUUAAUUAAUAAAUAUAUCUAUUAGAAAACUA
rnacentral:misc_RNA from 1 species